AUUGAACGCUGGCGGCAGGCCUAACACAUGCAAGUCGAGCGGAGCGGCGGACGGGUGAGUAAUGCCUAGGAAUCUGCCUGGUAGUGGGGGAUAACGUCCGGAAACGGGCGCUAAUACCGCAUACUAUCAGAUGAGCCUAGGUCGGAUUAGCUAGUUGGUGGGGUAAAGGCUCACCUAGGCGACGAUCCCUAGCUGGUCUGAGAGGGUGACCAGCCACAUGGGAACUGAGACACGGUCCAGACUCCUACGGGAGGCAGCAGUGGGGAAUAUUGCACAAUGGGCGCAAGCCGGAUGCAGCCAUGCCGCGUGUGUGAAGAAGGUCUUCGGAUUGUAAAGCACGUUAAGUUGGGAGGCGUUACCAACAGAAUAAGCACCGGCUAACUUCGUGCCAGCAGCCGCGGUAAUUC
rnacentral:rRNA from 1 species